GGGAGUUUGGCCGAGCGGUUAAGGCGCCAGGUUAAGGUGAAGGCGAGAGAUCGUCCUCUACAAGCUUAACAUAUCUUCCUGGUGGGGCAACCCGCGUGAGUUCGAAUCUCACAGCUCUCA